rnacentral:lncRNA from 1 species
ACAGCUGUCACUGUGCGAGUUUAGUUAGGAGGGACAGAAAAGCAUUCUGGCUGUGAUGAAACCAUGUGAGGGUUUGUGGAUCACAUCUUUAAGCACUUACAGAGAGUCCAUGCCCCUCUGCAUUCUGUUUGACUGCUGCAAGCUCUACAGUAUCUAGCAGAACUUCGAGAUCUUCCCAAAAUAUCUGGUCAGAACUCCAGGAUUUUCCUUGUGGAGGAAUUCAGUUUCACACCUUGGCUUCAUUAGCACUUCCAUGUUGGACAUCACUUUGUCAGACUUUUCCUCUACUGCCAUUUAUCACGUGGCAACAAAGUGUAACAGAAUAUUGGCAGGAAGGUAUCGAUCUCUAAUGACAUACCACCAACAUCCACCUCUGACGUUGUGAGCAACAUAAUAAAAUAAGAGGCAUUACUUUUGGAGCAGCCCCCUUUCUAGAAUGCUUCAGGAUAACUUAAGAGAGUUUAUUAAGAACAAACAUCAUUAAGCAAUGUAACAGAUUUGUGAGGGUGCUACCUAAAGUGAUACACAACAGAAAUCAACAGGAAAAGUAAAUGAGAAUAAAGGACCAGAG